AGUAGAGCUGAAGGGGAGCGGGUGGAACAACGCUGAGGAAGCAGUGGAAGUGCACGUCUCUCUUCCUGUAGGCUUCCUGCAGGGGGUCAAGGCCACGCACUGGGGAAGCGAGGAGACUUAGACCAGAUAGAAGACUGACCUUCUGACACUAGAUCCGACUCAAACAUUAAUAUGUACAAAUGACAGUUUACGACCACCAGAAGGUUACCCGAGAAACCUUUAGGUCACCUGCCAGAGAUUAAACUGGGAACUGGAGACCAGACAGAGCAGGCUAAGAAGGGACUGUGGUCCACCAGGAUCCUCUCCACAUAUCAGCAAACAGGUUUUCCAAAGCCAUGUGCAUGUGAUGUCAGAAACAGGCAACAUGGCAGAAAUAAAAGGUGCUUUGGAGUCCUAAGGACCAUGGAAUAGUGGGCUACCACUACCCUGGGAGAUAGGAAACCGGACUUUUGAUUUCGGUUACUAAUUCUACUACCUUAGCAAGCCACAGCUAUGUCCAACAACAGAACUGGGCCCCUGGCUUCCUGAAAUGUAAUUUCCAACGAAAGAGACAAAUGGUUUCCAUAUAUGCAUAUCUAUCACACCAUGAUGGGUGGUGGUGUUGCUAUGAAGAAAAAUAAGGCUCUGUGCUGUGGCCGUCUGGAUAGAUUAUGCCUCUCUGAGAUCACUCCCUGCCCUCCUAGGCUCUCUGCUUUCCUGAUGCUGGAGAGACAGCCCCUGCUCUGUGUCUGUGCAUCCAGUUCCGACCCAUUCGGCUCAGCUCCACUCGGAAUCUUUCGCAAAGUCUUCCUGAUACUUGACUGUGGUGAAAACCAAACUACGUAAUAACACACACAUGUAAUUUACCCAACUUUUAGCACCCUGUAGGGAUCAUUUAAUUGUCAAAGUUAAAUAAUGUUUAUGUUAAGAAGAUGCCAUUACUAAGUACAUAAACAUAAAUUUACGUAGCUUAGUGUGUUUGUGGGUGUGGGGGAUAAAUAGAGAUAAAAGCGAGACACUAGCUUUUCUACAUUGAAAUUUCCAUAUUUCUAGAUAGUAAAUUAGUUUGAGAAAUAAAAGUCA